ensembl:lncRNA
GCGUUUGAGAGACCUUGGCAGGGCUCAGUUGGAAACAAUCUCCUCCCUUUGCAAACCAGAGCAGGGAGACCCAAGCAGUCUACUUCCGAGGCAGGCCCUUCCCCGUGGCUGAGGCAGGGAGGGUCUCCUCAUGAGGACGUGGCUCUGCGACUUUACUUUCACUGGAAACGGAAGCUGUCUGUGUUUCCACCUUGCAUGCUUGUCGGGGGAUGUAGGGGCAGCGUCUGGGGUGCUGACCCCAGCCAUCGACGUGAGACGCUGGCCCUGCAGUGCAGCCCAGCCCCUCAGUGGUGAAUCAGUGCAUGUGGACACAGAAAACGUUAAGUCUGAGGAUCAGCAUAUCGACUCCUGGAAUGAACUUGGUUAGAGGAGCCUUGGAAAGAUUCCUGGAAGAAAGAAGUUGAAAUGGUCUAUCUUUUUGACAGUCCCACCUGGUGUGUGGGUUAUUGGUUGUUUUUUUUUUUUUUUUUACCCUUCAGAGUGAAUGCACAGACUUGAGGAUUCUGAGUGAGGGCUGCCAUAAACAAGUACUGCAAACCAAGUGGCUUAAACAACAGAAACCUAUUUGUUCACAGUCCUGGAGGCUGGAAGUCCUCAAUCAAGGACUGUCAUGAUGCAAACCCUCUGGAGAAAAUACUGGAAGAGAAAAAUCUGGUCUUCAUUCUCUCUGACUGUCCCAAGGUGAACCCUGGGCUUCAAGGAGAUUCCUCUACCCCGGGGCACCAAAAGUCAGAGGCCUUCAGUUCAGCUGCAUGUCAGAAUUCCUCAACAGAAAUGUCUUGGAAUAUCAGUUCCUGGGCCCCACCCUCAGAGCAUCCUACCUCUGUUGAUCUGAGGUUGGGGGGAAUCCUGUGUGGCGGAGCACUGGGCAAGUGGACGAGGUGGGGCAGCCCCAGGCCCGGGCAUCACUUGUGUAAAGUCUUCCAGGUGAUACUGACACAUGGGCAGACCCAAGAGACACUGUCCUAAGCAUCGCUCUUCCUGCCACUCUGCUUCAGAAGGUCCUUUCCCUUCACCACGGAACAGCCCAUCUGCCUCCUUCUCAUCAUGGAAUCAUCAUGGAAUCCCCUUCCAAGCCCGUCUCAUGUGGGCUUUUCCUUGAAACUUUCUCCCUCCUCCAGCCCAACCAGGCCCGAUGCCUUGGUCACUCGAAUACUCAUAGUGUUUACUUCCCGCUGUUACUUCCCCUCUCGGGCCUCAUGUGAUGGUGGUUGGCCAGGUAGCCUGACCACACGAUGAUGGUGUGUGCUUAGAAAGGACCUCACGGACAUCUUGCCCAACUUCUGGCUCUGUGAGGGAGCAAGGCUCAGGCAGUAUUGGGUCUGAGUUCGCAGCUUGGUGUCCUGUUAUCCCUUUUCUAAAUUAAAAAGGCUGGAAUUGAUUCCAGUUCAAAUUCUAAGGCCACUCUUCUUGCACCUCCCUAGCUGUGUACUUCACAUCACUUUAAAAUGCUUUGCAGAAUGGGACUUCCCCGCAGUCCAGUGGUGAAGGCUCUGCGCUCCCACUGCAGGAGGCAUGGGUUCAAGCUCUGUCUGGAAACUAAGAUUCCACAGGCAGCACUGCAUGGCCAAAAUAAAUAGAUAAAAUGAAAUGUUUUGUAGAAAAUCAAUUCUAUAAUCACGUUGUAGAACAGAAGCAUGUUGUUCAGAUAUUACAUCUGAGUAUUAAUUAACUGCUACAAAUCACAAUCCAUAGCUACAAAUACAAUCCAAUAUUUUCAAAACAACCCAAUUUUUUCGAAAAAAAAACCCUGAUUGACUUAGAUUUCAGUUUCUAAGUUUACUACAUGAAAUACACUUUUAAAGAAUAAGCUGCUACACUUUGGGGGCUUCCCUGGUGGCUCAGAUGGUUAGGAAUCCACUUGCAAUACACGAGACCUGGGUUCGAUCCCUGUGUCAGGAAGAUCCCCUGGAGGAGGGCAUGGCAACCCACUCCAGUACUCUUGCCUGGAGAAUCCCAUGGACAGAGGAGCCUGGCAGGCUACAGCCUACUGGGUUGCAGAGUCAGACACAACUGAGAGGCUAACACAUACUUUGCUUCUGGGAGAUGAGGUCUUUUGCUGGUUUCUCUCACUGGGCUCGGGCAGUGGUUUCAGUUGAACAGUGAAUGAGCAGCUCCAUCAUCCUUUCUUACCUUCCUCUCCUCCCCAAAUGCUCUAAUCCCUGUAGCUGUGCUCUAAAGUCUUAUGUAUUGGUCCCUGAUACUGUAAUUACAAUAAACGGAUAACCAGGGAUGUGGAAAACGACCAUUUGCUCCUUUGUAAAGUUCUUCAUGUCUUGCUGGUCUGGAUGUCAGUAUUCCUACCUCCACGAACUUAGGGUACCAGGGGACAGAAGAUACACCAUUCUCUGCACCACUAAGGAUGAAAGAUCUGGGACAAAUAAAUGGGCGAGCUGUCCAUGUAAGAUGCCAUUGACCAGCCACCUGCGCCUGAAAACAUCAAAAGAUAUGUGUUCUAGGACCUCUGAGGUGGGGAGAUCCAGUUCAUCCUUGCUUCCUCCCUAGGAGUUGCACAUUGACUCCAUUUUCACCUCCCGUGGUUGUCCAGAGUGGAUUCUGGAUCCUAGGUCCAGGAUCCUUAAUAGUGGCCACGUCACCUUGCUCCUCCUCUUGUAUAAUUUAUUGGGUUACUUUGCACCCAAAGAGGCAUUGUGUUAAUUGCUCAGUCAUGUCCGACUCUUUGCGACCCCAUGG